CACGCCCUACGGGAGGCAGCAGUAGGGAAUAUUGCUCAAUGGGGGAAACCCUGAAGCAGCAACGCCGCGUGGAGGGUGAAGGUUUUCGGAUUGUAAACUCCUUUUGUUAGAGAAGAUAAUGACGGUAUCUAACGAAUAAGCACCGGCUAACUCCGUGCCAGCAGCCGCGGUAAUACGGAGGGUGCAAGCGUUACUCGGAAUCACUGGGCAUAAAGAGCGCGUAGGCGGGAUAGCAAGUCAGAUGUGAAAUCCUAUGGCUUAACCAUAGAACUGCAUUUGAAACUGAUAUUCUA
rnacentral:rRNA from 1 species